AUGUAAGGUAAUAUUUCUCUAAACAGAGGUAAAUUACUCUGAAAAUGAAUUGUACAUAAUUUUACCUUCAAACAAAGCAUCUUGU
rnacentral:pre_miRNA from 1 species